rnacentral:lncRNA from 1 species
GGCUGUCCUGUCUCUUUAGUCUCAUCUGCUAGAACAGUUUCUCAGUCUUCUCUUGACUUUUGUGACCUUGACACUUUUAAAGAUCAGAGUCCAAUUAUUUGACAGAGGUCCCUCAAUGUGGGUUGGUCUGUUUCCCCCUGGUUAGAUUCAGUUUAUGUCUCUUGGGCAGGAAGGUCACAGGAGUGUUCUGUGUUCUUCUCACUGCAGCCUGUCAGGAGGCGCUCCGUCACAGUUUGUCCCAUUACUGAAGAUAUUUGCUUUGAUCACUUCGGUUACUGUCUUCUAGGUUUUUCCACUGUGAUGUUUUCCUUUUCCCCUUGUAACUUAAAGGUAUUUUGCAGGACAAAUAGUUCAAAACUAUUAAAAUAUCCCACUCUUCAAUAGACACAAAAAUUUCCCAUUUAUUUAUACAUUUAUGUUAGUUGAGACUCAGGGAUCAGCAAUCAGAUUGUAAGCAUUUUAGGUUUUGAGGUCUAAGGGUCAAAAUCUAGGCUACCUAUGUACUUUUAUAACAAGAGAGAGGGGGAAAAAAAGUCCACCAAAUUUUCAUUGGGGAAAUUAAAAAUAUAGUAAUUUAUUGAGGACAACAUAUUUUGUAAUUCAGGUCUACAGAUGAGAACAAAAUUCUUUGGAGGAGGGAGAAUACAUGACUUGAAUUUUUUGUGUUCCCUGUUUUCAAAUUGAUUGCAAAUAUUCCUUAUCCCCAACACUGGAAAAAAACACAAAAAACAAAAAACCAAAACCCAAAUCAAAACAAACCCCAAAUCCCCCUAUUCUUAGCUGUGCUCAUUGAAAUCAGGGAACAGGCUGUUUUGCUGACCCUUGGUUCAGACUCAUUGAUUCCCCUUUGACUCAGGAAGUUAAAAUCUGUUACUAACAUUAUGUAUUUUGAAUGUGGCUUGUCCCCUAAAUGUUCUCCAAUUUGAAUACAAAUUGCCCUCUCUGUCCUUGUGGCACCUUCCUAUCUCUCUUUGAGCAUUUCCUUGCCUGUGGCAGGAGACGUUCUAGGCUCAUUCUGCAGGUCUCUGCUCCAUCCCUGAAAGCAGUCAUAUUUUCAGAGAGCCCUGGUGUCUACUAGUGGCAAAUGGUAUUUAGAAACUUCAAUCUGGCUGCCAAGUGUGCUCAUUGCUACAGGGGUGUCCUUUUCCACGGACAGACCUAGGACCUAUGUGUGUGUUUGCCAGGACCUUCUGUUCUAACCCAAUACCACGGGGCUGUUUCCACUUUUCUCCUUUUCCAUUCUUGCACUCCCUGUCUCCAGCACAGAGAAACAUGGUUCCCAUUAUAAUCAAAAUACUUUCUUCUUGGAUCCAGUCCCCUAGCAAGUAACCACUUCUCAUUCCUCUUGCCAGCCUGACAGGAGUAAACAUCAAGGAUGAACAAACAACAUGAAUCAGCAAAAGGACUUGUUUUGGACUUGUUUUGGACUUUGUAGUGACUAAGUGACUUUUUAGUUGUAAACAUGUUUUGGUUAUAGGAUGACUAGAUAGUAUGCCCAUGUUAGAUAAGUUGAUGAUGUAACUAGGUAGUGUGCUUAUGUUAGAUAAGUUAGACAUAAACAAGUUUGUUGUAAACAUAUAGAGUAUAUAAGCGCGAGGGAAACUCCAUGUAUUUGCUCACAAUCAACUCUCAUCGCCUGAGAGUAAGAUCGUGCAGUGUGAGCCAGUCACCUCGUGUAUUGCUUUGUGUGGUGUGCGAAUAAACCAGCAUUUCAAAAGGCAAUCGAGUUCGUGCUUGGUGUUC